rnacentral:rRNA from 1 species
AACGAACGCUGGCGGCAGGCUUAACACAUGCAAGUCGAACGCCCCGCAAGGGGAGUGGCAGACGGGUGAGUAACGCGUGGGAAUCUACCGUGCCCUACGGAACAACAGUUGGAAACGACUGCUAAUACCGUAUACGCCCUACGGGGGAAAGAUUUAUCGGGGUAUGAUGAGCCCGCGUUGGAUUAGCUAGUUGGUGGGGUAAAGGCCUACCAAGGCGACGAUCCAUAGCUGGUCUGAGAGGAUGAUCAGCCACAUUGGGACUGAGACACGGCCCUAACUCCUACGGGAGGCAGCAGUGGGGAAUAUUGGACAAUGGGCGCAAGCCUGAUCCAGCCAUGCCGCGUGAGUGAUGAAGGUCUUAGGAUUGUAAAGCUCUUUCACCGGUGAAGAUAAUGACGGUAACCGGAGAAGAAGCCCCGGCUAACUUCGUGCCAGCCGCCGCUGUAAUAC